GGGGUAGUUGCCUAAUCCAUAUCCAUGUGGAUAGCUCUUUACUUAGGAAACCUUGAUGGCUUAUUUGGAUGACAAAGGUUCCCUUUUGGCGAUACAUAGCCAUGCGAGACAACAUAGCCAUGAAACAAACCAAGUCCACCAGUGGCUUCCUAGGAACACAUUUGCUUUCCUGAUAAAAGAGGACAGAUGCAGUUGCAGAAGUACCUGUGCCUCUUUUUCUUUUUCUUCUUCUUUUUCUUUUUUAAUCUCUUAAAUGCAGAUAUAAGAACUGGUACUGAAGCAGCCAUCUUGUGACCAUAAGGAAGAAGCCAAGAACAUCAGAACCAGUGGCCUAGCCAUUGCACAGUCAUCUAAACACACCUCUGGACUUGUUAUUAUGUAAAAAAAAAUAAACACCUGCUCUUGUUAUUUGCAAUUCAACAUAAUCGUAACUUACAUAAUAUUUAUCAAAUUGAUACAAAUAAGAAAUAAAUUACUUGGGAAUAAAAUUUCCAG
rnacentral:lncRNA from 10 species